rnacentral:rRNA from 1 species
UACGUAGGGUGCGAGCGUUGUCCGGAAUUAUUGGGCGUAAAGAGCUCGUAGGCGGUCUGUCGCGUCGAUCGUGAAAACUUGGGGCUUAACCCUGAGCUUGCGGUCGAUACGGGCAUGACUGGAGUUCGGCAGGGGAGACUGGAAUUCCUGGUGUAGCGGUGAAAUGCGCAGAUAUCAGGAGGAACACCGGUGGCGAAGGCGGGUCUCUGGUCCGAUACUGACGCUGAGGAGCGAAAGCGUGGGGAGCGAACAGG